AUACAUACCUGGCAGGGGAGACAUGAUAAUCAAGAAGGUGGUUUUCCCACCGUGAGGCUCACCCAUUACUCUCUGCAUGUGCUGAGCCCUGAAAUUUCCUCAAACAUGGGAAACUGACUGCAUAAUUUGUGGUAGUGGAAGACUGUGUUUGCACUCUCCCCAA